rnacentral:rRNA from 1 species
GAUCCUGGCUCAGGAUGAACGCUAGCUACAGGCUUAACACAUGCAAGUCGAGGGGAAACGACAGAGGAAGCUUGCUUCCUUUGGGCGUCGACCGGCGCACGGGUGAGUAACGCGUAUCCAACCUUCCCGCAAGUAAGGGAUAACCCGUAGAAAUGCGGCCUGAUACCUUAUGUUUUCCUUAGAUGGCAUCUGAUGAGGAACAAAGAUCCGUCGCUUGCGGAUGGGGAUGCGUCUGAUUAGUUAGG